AGACUGAUCGGGAUACUCAUCAAAUAACUAAUGAAAACCGGGAUGUCGUCUUCGGCCAAUGGCGGGCCGCUAACCAAGCUUCAAUCGAGCCGGCGGAUUACAAAGGCGGAGAGCUCCCACAACCUGUCACAAAGGAGUUUUCAUCACAUCGUCGGCACAGUCC
rnacentral:sRNA from 1 species